rnacentral:rRNA from 1 species
AUUGAACGCUGGCGGCAGGCCUAACACAUGCAAGUCGAGCGGAGCGGCCGACGGGUGAGUAAUUAAUAGGAGUGUGCCUGGUAGAGAGGGAUGACGACCUGAAACGAACGGUAACACCGCAUGCUAUCAGUUGAGCGUAUGUCGGAUUAGCUAGUUGGUGGGGUAAAGGCCUACCUAGGCGACGAACCCUAACUGGUCUGAGAGGAUGAUCAGUCACACUGGGACUGAGACACGGCCCAGACGCCUACGGGAGGCAGCAGUGGGGAAUAUUGCACAAUGGGCGAAAGCCUGAUGCAGCCAUGCCGCGUGUAUGAAGAAGGCCUUCGGAUUGUAAAGCACUUUCAGUUGGGAGGCGUUACCGACAUAAUAAGCACCGGCUAACUCCGUGCCAGCAGCCGCGGUAAUUC